rnacentral:lncRNA from 1 species
UCCAUAAUCCAUUUCAAUAAUCAGUAAAUAAAAUCUUUAUAGACAACCUUUCACCGUUUCACGCAACAGUCAUUUUCAGAGGUUUACAUACCAUUGCCAACUCUAUAACUGCUUCUCGUACACUCAGAUUGCAUCUCAAUCAACUUGUUUUUAAUCUCCAAAUUAAGAGGAUCCUCUUCAUUCAACCAUUCUCUUAGACUAGAUCACAUAACAUUUCUCGGAUUUUAUAUAUACAUGUUACUUGAUCAUGGGUACGUCAAGCAAUCCUAUGUCUGAGUCAACAGGCAAAAUGACUUCAUUUGAUAAAUCCAGAAGCCAAAACAAUCAUCCGGGUUGCUUAUCUGAACACUGCCGGGUAGCUGAAGACCUACGGGUUCAGGCUUUAUACAUGCAGAAUUCAGUGUAUUCUUUAAGCAGAAACCGUACCCGUAGCUUCAGGAAUGGAAGAGUACAUUUCGUGCCGCGCAACGAGGAAAUCAUUCUCCGGCCGUACGGUGUUCCACGCCCGGUAGGCCGGCGGCGCCGCCGCAACCAAUGACCAAUCACCAAAUCCAACACCUCUGGAGUUUGGAGUUUACUCUGCAUCCAAACAAACAAAUUCAAUUGAAUUUCAGUGCAUCGAAUUCUACUGAGAAACCGGCAGCAAUUACAAUAAAAAGGUAACUCUUGUACUACACAUCACUCCUCAUGGUUCAUGGACUUUGGCAAUUUAGCACCACUUGACAAUAAGUAAUAACAUGAUGGUAUAUUUUACCUCUUCCGUUUGUUUUUUUUCUGUAAUGCGUACAACUCUUAGGUAGAUAGAGAGGAAGAUGCCAUCAGCUGUGACAUUUUCCUAGAAGAUGAACAUUGGCAUGUCAGUCAAGAAAACUAUGCUCCAGCUCUAUCGGGAGAAUAAUACAAAUAAAGGGAACUUCGCAUGCGUAGUAAUCGAAGUUGCUGCUGACUCAUCAUUGGAUUAACCGGUGCUCUCGUGUCAGCUGUCUCCUGAUUGCCUACAACCCUGCCCCUUCAGGAGGUAUACUUUAGAAAGUGCAUCAGUAUUCUUCGUAGCAUAUACAGAAUUCCAGAUAGAUACAUCAAAGAACCUGAACUGAUUCAUGAGUAUGUCGACACAAACAGAGAAUGUACUGGUAGAUGUAGCAGAGAGAGUUGCCCAACCUGAGGCGAGCUGGCAUAGCGCGAUGCCAGAAGAGCAGCUGAAUUGCUUUGUUCAAGUUGUUGCCUCCGUUGAGAGGGUGGGCAACGCCCUCGGCACACUGGCGUUCACCUGGGCCACCGUUGUCCUCCUUGGAGGAUACCCAACUAGUAUCACCUGUGUGGACUUUGCGUACGCCACAGCAUUGUUCUUCUUAGAAGCUGCAAGGUAUGCAUCAAUGAUCAGUCACAUGUGAUAAUGUUAGUCACAAACCUGUGUACUCAUGUUAUCACUACACUUAGCAUUCGUAAGACCAUGAUCAGAUUAUCUAGUACUUAGCAAUUUAUCAAGUCCAAAAGGAUUGUUGUUCAUUUGGUUGAUAUAUCAUCCUGUUUUUCUCGGUUUCCAUGUGAUGCACCGUGCAUAUUUUCAGGAUGUUCUGCCCCAACAGAUCAGAGUACCAACUUUUCUUCAGGACUCGCGGAGCUUUGAGACCUUUCUCAUGGAAUAGAGUGAUUGUGGUGAUAUGUUUGAAUAAUGUUGGUUUAUUCCUCCCAAGCACCAAAAGUAAAGAAUUGUCGGUUUCCAUAUUGAUGCUUGUUGCUGCCACCUUGCCUUUCCCAGGAGUUCACAAACUUAAAGGUGGUCCAUUACGCAAUGCUAUAUCACUAUUGAGCCCCUUGGUUGUAAUGGUGCUGUUGAUCCCCUGUCUAUGGUGCAAAGAUACAACACCAGCACCAAAAUGGCAUUUGCUACUCCUAGCUAGGGCCUUUUACACACUGUUACUGGUCAUGGUGUUGCUACUAACGAUCAGCAAAUUGCAGUUUCCAAGCAUCGUCAGACUAGUUCAUAGGCUUGUCAUCCACAAAUCAUUAUCCUGCCACCAAGUCAGUUUGUUUUCUUGCAUGUACCUUGCAGCAGUGCCCUUGGUGUUCUUUUCUCCAUUUUUGUUAGUAAUGAUGGUAUUCGCUCUGUUGACAGCAAUGUGUGGCAGUUUACAGAUUCCAGCUGCAGUCAUGCGCAUCGUUAUUGGAUCGAUCUGCCUUUUGCACCAAGAUUAUUAUGGCAAAGGUGGCCAUGCAAAUAAUUCUGACAAGACAAACCUCAAGCCAACACUUAGGCUGCGUUCGUUGGGUGGAGAAAGAGAGAGAGUUUGUUUGGUUUUCCGCGCGCACGCUUCCCAAACUACUAAACGGUGCGUUUUUUACAAAAAAUUUCUAUAGAAAAGUUGCUUUAAAAAAUCAUAUUAAUCUAUUUUUAAAAUUUAAAAUAGUUAAUACUCAAUUAAUCAUGAGCUAAUGGCUCACCUCGUUUUGCGUAUCUUCCCAAUCUCCUCAAUCCCCUUCUCCUCAAACACUCCCUUAAUGUCUUCUAUGGAAUGGUGCUCGGUCAAGGGAUACUAUACAUUGUGGCUCGCAUAAUGGAGUUUUUCUCAUUCUUUCCUCGGAGAUCAUUGCCCCGUCGUGGUGGGUUCAGGGGUCAGCAGGGAGUCAAAUCUCUUGAUAUGUACUACACACAUGCAUUUGAGAAAUGUAUGAACGCUAGCAUCCUUGCUCCAAAGAAGUUGAACCUCACCAAUUUUGCCAUGGAAUCCCUCGAAUCAGACUCAAGGAAGAAGCAGCUGUGCGGGGUUCGAAUUCUGUAUAGCCUUGUGAACAGAGAGCCCUAUGACAAACAAGUCCUGUCAAAAGUCACAACUCCAUGAAGACGGUCACCACACUGAUCCAAAUGCUGGGAUGGACUAACCAAGAAGACAAUCAAAUUAGAUUGCUUGCCGCGAAGAUUACAGCUGAGCUUGCUAGAGGUCUCCAGAUUGUCACAAUCCCUGGUGCAAUGAACUCCAUAUCAUCACUUCUGGACAACCAGAACAAACAGCAGAUACAGGAACUCAUAAUUCAGAAAGACAGUGGUGGUGAGGAGAAUUGCUGGAUACUCAAACUUUGGCAUCAGAUGACUAAAAAGUGGUCCAUUCUAGAGGAGGAGCAGUGGACAGAAACUGAUGUUUUCCUGGUACUUGGCCUUGUAACUCUUGAGAGGCUAGCUACAUAUGAUAUUGUCAACUGCAUGGAGAUCAGCAGAUCAAUGGACCUCAUCCCAAAGAUCACAGAGUUCACGAGUAACAACAGUGAGAGAAUAUGUGUCAAUGAGACAAGUCAGAAAAUACUGAUUGAUUUGUCAUUGAAGGUGCUGAGAAGACUGGCAAGCAUUGGUGGGGAAACUGGUAUAACAUUGAGGCACAAGAUAUCAGAAGAUCCCUUCCUACUUGGCAACCUUGCUGAGAUUUUGGAGGAUAGCAAGAGCAGUCAGGAACUGAGGAAGUUGACAAUAGAUAUCCUUAUAAAACUUGCCAUGGAUGAGACUACAAAGAGAGAGAUUGGGAGCAUCCAGGUGAUUGUUCAGAUGUUGAUGUUUGCAUUCACUGCGCAAGAUGAUCUGCCAGGUGCAUAUUCUGACUGCUCGAUGACAAUGAAAGCAGGACAAGCAUUGUCAAUGCUAACACUAGAAAGUGCAGACAACUGCUCAGCUAUCAUGAAGGAACCUGGGCAUAGAUUCUUUAAGGAUGUGGCAAGAAUGCUAGUGCAUGACAACAGGUACAUACAUGUUGCAGCAAAUGUACUGCAAAACCUGUGCAAACACUCUAGAGUUGAGCUAGGAGAUUCAGUUUUGGUGGAACUUUCCAGUGUCCUACUAGAGGUGAGAUCUCCACCUAUGUAUGAUAAUAUUUGGCAUAUUUUUUUUAAAAAAAAACAAUGAGAAGCACAGGAGGGCUUUGGCCCCAUUCUAAACUACAACUUUCUCGUCUUCCGUUAGCACGCUUCCCAAAUUGUUAAACGGUGUGUCUUUUGUACAAGAUUUCUAUAUAAAAGUUUCUUAAAUAAAUUAAAUAAAUCCAAUUUUCAAGCUUGCAAUAAUUAAUACUUGACUAAUCAUGCGUUAUUGACUUGUCUCGAUUCGCAUGCCGCAAAAAAAGGUUGUCCCAAACAUAUUUUGUAUGAAGAAGGGGCUGAGAAACCAAAAUUUUAGCUUCUUAUUUAGGAUAUCUGUUUUCACCAGAUAUUUGAUUCUAGAGUCUAACUUACAUGAUGCUGCGUUAUACCGUCUACAGGUGUUGGGACAAGUAAUGGAUGCAGAGGGAAAAGAACUCGAGGUCCUUGUUGGCCUCAGUUCACAAAUAUGCAGGGUUAGUCCUAAAAGCUUUUCAAAAGCGCUAGAACAGGGUCAGAAGGAGGCAAGAUUCGUGGAGAAGCUAAUCAAUGGACUAAAUGCGAAUAUGAAACCCAAUCCACAGUUUCCAGGAAUCAGAAGUGUGAUAGUUGAGCAGUGUAUAUACAUGAUGGAGCUGAGCUCUCGUUAUGCAACAUAUUUCAGAAAUCAUGAAUUGAUGGAAGCAUUAAUAAGGGUGGAGAAGACACCAUCAAGGGCUGAAAAAUACAGGCUUUUCUUGGGCAACACAGGGCUCAUUGAGCACAGAGUGAAUCUGUCCUCUCUUGUGGAGAGGGCAAAACAGUUGAUGGCCGUGCAUUCAACUCAACAGCCUUGAGAAUCCAAUUAGAUUUUCGAUCAUAUUUACCACUAGCCUUUGGAUCAUCCUGGUCCACUAGGAUAUCUUUGUAAUUCAAAAUACUGAUUGGCCCAGAAAACACUGGUGCUAAGCUCUGGCUAAUAAUUUAUCUGUACAGUUUAAACUUGAUCCUUUUUAAAAAAGGACUAUAGAGAAAUAAACAAAACAAACAAAUGCACAUAAAGAUUCUUAGGCGCAAAAAGGAAAAAAAAAUCAAAAUUGCAUGUUUAUUUGACAUACAUCGAGUUCAAUAUUCAACAUUUGUUUUAUUCCCCAAUCAAAGUGAUCAUGUCAAUUGAACUGUUAAGCAACUAUCCCAAAUGGUGUACUGAUAAAUACUCUAUGAUUCCUAACCUAUUUUGUUUUCUUGGACUAAAUAUCAAAUAAGGCAAGUUUGGCAUAAAUGAUCCUGUAAAUAAGUGAUGAAUAAGAGAAUAUUCUGACAUUAACACGGAUGGGUCUGUUUUUUCUAAUGGUCAGGCCGUUGCCGACGUUUUAUAUAAAAGAAGAAAGUGUCUCAUUUUAAGAAAAAAAAACAUGACAAAACCUUACAAUGCACGGUAAAUUAGGGGAAACUGCACGAAAACCACAACUCACCACCAACUAACCUAAUCAGCCAUGGCAGCGAAAAUAGGAGUUACAGUACCACUAGCACCACACAGUUCUGAUGUUCGAAGUAAAUCCUGAAGUAUACCGUAUAUAUUCAGCAGAAAAACUCAACAGUUUCUGUCGCGAGCAUGGGGGACGGUUCUUGUUGACUAUAGAAGAACGGAUAUGGCUUAUCUGGUCCCUGCAGCUAGUAUAGCAAGUUCAAUUUGAGCAGGAGUGAGUGGGUCUGUGAGUGCUUCCGUCACUGCUCGUAUGAACAAGAACAACGAUGGAAGGUGAAUGGCUGGUGCACUCACUCUAUGCUCCAUGUGAAUUUGUGAAAUUUGGGUUUUGCUGCCCGAGUGGCUGGGGCCUAGUCGCUCGCCCCCGGCAGCAUCUGAUCCCACUUCCUCUUGUGAAAAUUUUUUAUAUUCAUCGUGAGGUCCAAGUGUGCGGCGCACUAGGCAGCAAAUUAAAUUAAUCCCCCAAAAUAAUAUACUACUCCCUCCGUUUACAAUAUAAGUCAUUCUAGCAUUUCUCACAUUAAUAUUGAUGCUAAUGAAUUUAGACAUGUAUAUUUAUCUAGAUUCAUUAGCAUCAAUAUGAAUGUAUAAAAUGCUAAAAUAACUUAUAUUCUAAAACGGAGAAAUUACUAAUUUGCACCGAACUAGUACUAGAAGAGAGCAAAAGCACCGCUUAAACGGUUGAACCCUAGCUAAUAUUCGGGUGCCUUUCACACACCCCCUUAAACAAAAUCGCCAAAAAUGCUUUUCAUGAUGUAUGAGGAAACCUAAGAUUUCGAGGUUGGGAAAAACCAAAUCCGCAGGAGCGGACGGGGAAUCGAGACCUAAUCUCCCCCGCGGAUCUAGGCCCCAAGCAUUUGGGCGCGGCGCGGCAAAAUUAAUACCGAAUCGAAUCGAAUUUUUUUUCGAUCGAAACCGCGAUCGAGAGGAAAAAAAAAAGGAAUGCAUCGGAGGAACACGGAAGGGAAGCAAUCGACUCACCGUGCUCCUUGCAGAGGCCAGAGCGGGGGCUCUGCGACCUGCGAGCGGUCACAUCGCAGAGAUCAUGGAGACACAGUGAAACUAAAGGCAGCCCGUCUCUCUCACAGUCUCACUCUUUAGCAAAUUUUACCAAAACGUCCAUGUGCUCUGC